rnacentral:misc_RNA from 1 species
GAAAUGCGAUAAGUAAUGUGAAUUGCAGAAUUCAGUGAAUCAUCGAAUCUUUGAACGCACAUUGCGCCCGCCAGCACUCUGGCGGGCAUGCCUGUUCGAGCGUCAUUUCAACCCUCAGAACCCCUUGCGGGAUCUGGCGUUGGGGAUUGGCAUCCAGCCAGCCCCGAAAUCUAGUGGCGGUCCCUCCGCGACCUCCCCUGUGCAGUAGCGAUACCUCGCAGCGGGACAGCGGUCUGACCACGCCGUAAAACCCCCAACUUCUCAAGGUUGACCUCGAAUCGGGUAGGACUACCCGCUGAACUUAAGC